GGUGCCACUGAGGGAGCACAGCGGCAGCCAUUUACGUGGGUGUGGGUACUGCUCUUCUGACUUUAGCUUCACUCAUGGAAACAUGCCUAAAGGUGUGGAAACUUGCAAACAGAAGUCUUUCAGACAGUGCUGAGUGUGCUCCUGGUUAAUUUAGAUAAGUGAUAGAGGUCUCUCAGCUGGAUGAGAAGAAAAUCUGGGCGUGUGGAGCAGGCCUGGUUCUCUCUCAGGUUUACAAGCCACGUUGCAAUUCACUGUGUGUGCACUGUGCCCAUCAAUCAGCGUGGCUCCUGAGCCCAGAAGCUUCCCCCCCACACACACUUUUUUUUUCUUUUUUUUUUUUUUUCUUCUUCUCCUUUUGCACUCCUUGAUGGCUCUGUGGGCGUGCAGGACGGGAGGACAGACCCUGUCACGCUGCUGCCACUCGUGUUGCUUUCGCUGCGCUCAACCCUUCUGUCUUCAUGUCACCAUGUGGUACUCCACACUCCUCAAUGAUCAGAUGCCUUUGGAAGAGAGAACACACAAAACUUAUGUAUGAGCUACAUUCUCGUUUCUGGAGUGGUGGAUAUUGGGUGACCAGUCUGUGGUCAGGAAGAAGAAUGUUUGGAUCCUGAGUGUAAGGUAUUUUCUUCCGAGAGCUGAUGCAACCAUGCCAGAGCCUUGCACGAGGAAAUGAGCUUACAUAGAACCUGGAUACUCUACUCUUGGGCUUUCUCUCUCAGGAAUAACAUUACUUGCAGCAGAAACUGAGAUACUUUGAAUGUUGUAUCCUGUCUCCUUUAACAACGGUGUAGGAACACAGAUUUACUCUGGAUU